UGAAGAGGGAACAAACAAGGAUAGAAAAACACAUCAAGAGAUUAUUACAACAAUCCCAAAGAGGAAUAAUGAUGGCCUGAACUAGCACAAAAGAAAGAGAGAAGAUAGAAGUCUCAACAAAACAAGGUGAAUAACUGAGCUUCAAAGGGAUUAAGCAACUUGGCUGUGGUUACACAAUGAUGGAGCUGGAAUUUAAACUCAGAUAUUUCUUAUUCCAAAAGUCGUGAUCCUAUUCAAACUGCUUUCCAAGUGACUGAGUGCUCACAUAAUGAGAAAUGUGGGUUUUGCUAAUAUAAAAUAUGAAUGUGUUCAGGGCCAUCUGUUUCUCCCCAGUCCAAUACCAUUACCAUUUUCCUUGGGGAAUAAUAUAUGCUUUGGGAGUUGGCCCCCGUCACUGCUCCAAUGACAGUAGCUCCUAUUUCAUUCUAUCCAAGCUCUUCCUCCAAAUCUCUUUGUUCUUUCGUACUUGUAAAUUGCCUCAUCAAUACUGUUGCUUAAAAUGGAUUUUUCUUUACACAUAUCCCCAAUCCUAUGCUAAAUUUUAGUAUAAUUUUUGUUACAGAUGAAACUAGAAUCAUUAAUUCUAGAAUUU